rnacentral:rRNA from 1 species
UCGGAACGUGCCCUGGAGUGGGGGAUAACUAGUCGAAAGACUAGCUAAUACUGCAUACGAUCUACGGAUGAAAGUGGGGGAUCGCAAGACCUCAUGCUCGUGGAGCGGCCGAUAUCUGAUUAGCUAGUUGGUGGGGUAAAGGCCUACCAAGGCAUCGAUCAGUAGCUGGUCUGAGAGGACGACCAGCCACACUGGGACUGAGACACGGCCCAG